UGCUGUUGGUGUGAAACAAACUGAAGCGAACAGUUUCUUUGAAAAGAAAAUGAAGAAGAAACCAAAUUGGACUCAAGAUGAAACUAUUCAGGUGAAUCUUGGCGUACCCAACUCAUAAAAUGAUUUAGAACUGAUACAACCAUUUAAGCAUAUAACCUAUUCUGUCGCAUCGUGCCCCAAUGCUCCCAAAUGUAUCAAUUUAUCCAG
rnacentral:lncRNA from 1 species